rnacentral:rRNA from 1 species
AGCAGCCGCGGUAAUUCCAGCUCCAAUAGCGUAUAUUAAAGUUGUUGCAGUUAAAAAGCUCGUAGUUGAAUUUCGGGAUCAAUAUGUCGGUCGUGCCUUCGGUACGUACUGGUAUCAUUGGUCUCUCCUUUCUGACGAACCAUGAUGUCAUUAAUUUGGUGUUAUGGGGAGUUAGGACUGUUACUUUGAAAAAAUUAGAGUGUUUAAAGCAGGCUUUAGCUUGAAUACAUUAGCAUGGAAUAAUGAAAUAGGACGUUCGAACCUAUUUUGUUGGUUUCUAGGAUCAACGUAAUGAUUAAUAGGGAUAGUUGGGGGCAUUAGUAUUCAAUUGUCAGAGGUGAAAUUCUUGGAUUUAUUGAAGACUAACUACUGCGAAAGCAUUUGCCAAGGAUGUUUUCUAUUAAUCAAGAACGAAAGUUAGGGGAUCGAAGACGAUCAGAUACCGUCGUAGUCUUAACCAUAAACUAUGCCGACUAGGGAUCGGAUGAUGUUAAUUUUUAAUGACUCAUUCGGUCGCCUU